AGAUGAGGCUGCAUAUCAGAGUCCUCCAGCCUCCACAGCUAAAUCCCUAGACCCUUCAGGGCCCGGAGGGAAGGGCUCUGGAGCUGAGAGUCAUCUACUGAGCCUCCCAGGGACCCCCCCUAUUCAGAUGCCCAGACACCCUCCUGGGGAGAGAAGCCCAAAUUGCAAAAGUCACCAUGACUUCUGAUGCUAAAAUGGAACCCAAGAAAAACAUCAAGCAAGAAAAAUCCAUCUCAACUGAUAUUCUCAACUUGCGAGGAGACGGAGCUGGCAGGCAACUCCAGAAAGACAUCCCAUCUAGGGAGCAAAGAUGAAUAACACGACUGGCAAACACUUAGCUGCGGACAGAGUGUGUUUUGACACAGACAUUCACCUCCUUUGAUGCUCAGGACUAGGCUAUGAGACCAAGUCUAAUUGAUGCACAAAGGGUGCGUUGAAAGCCUACUGCAUGCUUAGAGGAAGCCAAAACUGUGAAGACCACAAGCCAAGAACUUUAUUGAGCUCUUACUGGGUACUAGACACUUCGCUUAACACUGUAUCUCUAUUUAUUCCUCCAAACUUAUCUCUCCCGUAAGAUUGUGGGCUCCUUGAAGGCAAUGUCUAUUUUAGUCCUCUUUGUCCCUACCAU
rnacentral:lncRNA from 10 species